CUGCAAGCCCAUUGCUCAGUUACAGGCUAGAGUGAGUUGAAGCAAAGUUGUAGCGCUCAGAAAGUGAGCAGCUGGGUUCUGCACCCAGAAAGGAAAGGUACGCCACUUAAGGGGUGUGUGAGUCUUUUGAGACCAUUUUGAAAAAUCAUAGAAUAUAGAAAAUCCUACAUUAACGAGAAUCCAUGAGUGUACAAAGAACAAAGCUGUAGACCCCAGGAGAAUCCUAAUGUAUACAAGGUAGGAAGAGAACACCAGUCCUAAGAAAACCGUAAUUUAGUCCCGUGAAUGGUUUCUGGUCUUCUCCCGUGACACUUUAUGGUAUCUUGAAACAAUGCUGGGUUUCCC
rnacentral:lncRNA from 1 species